CAGGCCGGGCAGGAGGCGGAUGGGCAGCUCCGGGCUGUGCUCCGUGAGCCCGGCAGCUCGGGCAAUGGGAGCUCGGCUUUCCCGGCUGGAAUCCUGCUGGACGAGUUUCCCAGGAUGUCGGGGGCUGUGAGCACCACCCCGGCUCCUGAAGGAUCACCCUGCUGAGCCGGGUUGGGAGCCUGAGUCAGCACCAGCACAGCCGGUUCUGCCGGACUGGACCACGCUGGGUCAGGAGCAGGAUGUCCCGGG